rnacentral:misc_RNA from 1 species
UGCAGGGUAGAAGAUUCAUAAAUGCUUUCUCCUUUAGGUAUGUAUUUCAUUCUAUUUUUCUUUAUUUCUGUUAAAGGUAUGGAAAGGAAAGCCCUUAAGGGUAUGGAAAGGAAAGGAGGUGGGAGUUUUGGAUGAGUUUGUGGGAAAAGGGUGUCAUAUGUGCAAUCUGAAUGUUUUGUUUGAUUUCCUAGAAUGAUUUUGAUAGAAGCAGCCCAUUAGUGAAUCAUGAAGAUUUGGGCCAAGAUCAAGCACCAAAGCCCUUAAGGGUAUAUUAUAGAAA